ACUUUUGGUUACUGAUAUCUGCCAUAUGCCAUCUUGAAGCAUAUCUCAGGGAAUUUUAUCUCUGGUGUUCAUUCCUAAUUUCACCUCAAUUUGUAAGAGUUUUGUCAGUCACAAGAUGUGCUCAAUAUGCUCGGCCAGAUCUCCCUUUGUUAACAUUGUGAACAAUUCUAUCAGGUUGAAACUUCUUUACAAUCCUCCAUGCUGUCUUUCUGUCUGGAGCUUUUCUAACUGCAAAAUGACAUUGAUAUUGUCAUUGGUUUGCACGGUUGAUUUGGCCUCAAAGUAGAAUUCCACCAGUUUACCUUCUUUGCUCGAUUGUAAGCAGCAUCGUCAUUGGAUCAGUCUCACACUACAUCAAAAGAAAUUCCUCACGUAUAUCUUGAUGUCUGGAAAAAUAAAUAGUCAGCAGGCCACGUAAUGUUAUCAUGUUUGUAUGUGAUAUCAUAAUUGGUUUUAGAAAUAAAAUUCAUGAUAAUUUGCAAAAUAUUAUUAAAAAUGCAUAAACACCUUGUUCUCCUCAUACUACGGUCCCAAUUUUCUGAAAAAGAACUUGUUCUGAC